GAUUGUGCGGGUGACGCACCCUGGAAUUGGGCUCCCUCCUCUCUGGUUCCAGGUGCGUCACCCAAGGGCAGCU
rfam:Myotis lucifugus cont2.34524, whole genome shotgun sequence.